rnacentral:lncRNA from 1 species
GUUGCACUGCGCUCUUCCAAUCGAUCAAACUCUCAAAAUUUCUAAAAUCAGAUACUCUGAGGAAAAUACCUUUCACAAAAGACCCUUUUAAAUGCUUCCCAUGUAAAGGGUGAAUCAUUUGGCCCUAGUUUUUCAAUCUCCAUCUCCCACCAGUUGGCUGCCUCACCUUGCAGCAUAAAGGUGGCAAAAGUGACUUUUUUCUCAUCAGGACAUCUCAAGGCUUGAAAUACUUUUUGUAUUGCUUUUAACUAGCUUUCAACUUCCAUGGGAUCAGAAGUCUCCAUAAAUAUCGGUGGUAUAUAUUUUGUAAAAUCUAUCAAAUUGAUUUGAUGCUUUCGCUG